rnacentral:rRNA from 1 species
UACGUAGGGUGCAAGCGUUAAUCGGAAUUACUGGGCGUAAAGCGUGCGCAGGCGGUUUUGUAAGUCUGUCGUGAAAGCCCCGGGCUCAACCUGGGAAUGGCAAUGGAUACUGGCGAGCUAGAGUGUGUCAGAGGAUGGUGGAAUUCCCGGUGGUAGCGGGUGAAAUGCGUAGAGAUCGGGAGGAACUCAGUGGCGAAGGCGGCCAUCUGGGACAACACUGACGCUGAGGCACGAAAGCGUGGGGAGCAAACAGG